GACGUAGGAUGCGAGCGUUGUCCGGAAUCAUUGGGCGUAAAGGGAGCGUAGGCGGUUUCUUAAGUUUGGGCUUAAAGACCGGGGCUCAACCCCGGGAGUGGCCCGAAUACUGGGAGGCUGGAGGACGGCAGAGGAAAGUGGAAUUCCCAGUGUAGCGGUGAAAUGCGCAGAUAUCAGGAGGAACACCGGUGGCGAAGGCGGGUCUCUGGGCCGAUACUGACGCUGAGGAGCGAAAGCGUGGGGAGCGAACAGG
rnacentral:rRNA from 1 species